rnacentral:lncRNA from 1 species
GGUAGACGUGUAAAAACAUGCAUAUAUAUAUUAUAUAAAAAACAAUAUGUGAAUACUAUAUAAGAAAAAUGCAUAUAUGAACAUAGAGAUGAUGAUAGUAAUAAUGAUAAUAUAUAAAAUAUAAUUAAAUAAAAAAAUAGUUCAAAAAGAAAAAGUGGAUUAAAUUGAACAAAAGACGAAAAAUCGGGGAUAAAUUCGAAAUAAAUAAAAGGACCCAAUUGAAUGCGCAGGAAACAAUGGAGGACCAAAAGGGGAAUUAAUCCCUCCCUCCUACAUGUUGCGCAGCACUGGAUUAAAUCGUCACGCGGGUAAAAUAUUUGGGCCAAAUUUUAAAGAGGAAAAAGAACUUGAUUAAAACGCGUCACAAAAGGAGGAGGGCUAAUUGCGCAAUUUUCCCAUUUAAGGUGGAUAUGCGCAGACCUUUACCCCCCAAACUAAAUGGCUCAGCUUUAAAUCAUUCUGUUUCUUUUUUUCUAAAAGAAAAGCAGUGGCUCUGCUAAGGUUCUUUUAACCCAUUCCGCGCCAUCGUCCAUCUGCCCCUUCACCAAAGCUCCGACGACGGCGGAGAUGGUGGUGGCGCGGCGACCUCGACGAACUGGUAAGUGCUUUUCCCUUCUUUUCUUUGUUGUUUUAGGUAAAAAUGAAAUGAAAAAAUAAAGGAAAAUAAAAAGAAAUAUAUAAACAAAAAGAAUAGUGAAUACUACAAAGUAAAAAAACCUUUGAAAAAACAAAUUUCCCUUGUAUUUCUCCGUAUUUUUCCUUCUAUUUUCGUAUCUCCUUUUACUGAAUCCCCCCUAUUUUACAAAAUCAAACGGCUUUAUAUAGCCUAAAACUUAUUUGUUUUACACUAUAUUUUCGCUAAUGGACUCUCUGAGUCCGUGUUUGCAGGUGCGUGGAGAGUUUGGCAUGCGUGGAGGCCGAAACUUGCGACGUCCGGAUGCUGCUGGAGGCGCUGAAGGCGGGGGGAGCUGCGGCGGCUACUGGCAAAUGCUGCUAGGGUUCUCUUUUUUUGGGGGGGUUAAGGCUAGGGUUUAAUUUGGGCUUUGUAAAAAUUGGGCUGUGUCCCAUUAUUUAUUCCACACGGGCCUGGGCCAAUUUGGGCCUACUACAUGAUCAAUACAAAGAAAUCGAAAAAAAGGAAAAGAUCAGUUUUUUUGGAAGGUGGUUCUCUUUUCUUUUUCUUUCUCUGCGUUUCAUUACUGUUUUCUUUGAUUCUUUCUAUUUCCUAUACGAAAAGAGGGGAGAAAAGGGGGGACCUUACCUUGUCGUCGGCGCCGAUGAAGUCCUUUUCCCUUUCGCAUGAAUCGGGGUCGGAUGGACGGAGGCUUGGUUCCUGAAACAGCUAAGGGAGGGCUUAGUUUUUUUUUUAAACUGCCGAAAGUGCUUAGAAUGCGGCCAGUUUAGGGUUUUGUCUUGGCCUUCAUAUGACGCACGAAACGGCACCGUUUGGAGUCUGAUCAGUGGCUCCAAAACGGUGCCGUAUUGACCAUUGCCCAGCAGCCCGAUGAUCCGAUCCAACCGUGGCUAGAUCCGCGCGUUUUGGUAUGGGGAGGGAUAUUUUCACGCCAAGCCCUUCUUGUUUUGCGCUGUGUUUCAAUUCGAUCCCUUAAAUUUCUUUAAUUUUGGACAGCAUAAUUUGUCGUUGGUUUCAUUUUGGUCCAUGCUGAACGCAGCGUUUUGGAGCUAAGGAUAUUUUCCUCUUUAGCCCCCAUGUUAUUCGCGCGUGCCCUUUUUGGUCCUCAAUUCUGCUUUAUUUUCAUUUUUUUCCUUCUUAUUUCGAAUUUAAUACAAUUUCGUCCAAUAAAAUCAAACUUUCUUUCUUAUUUAAGUUUAAUAUAUAUUUUUAUUUCAUUAUCAAUACUAU